GGGGUGUCAUCUACCAAGGCCGGCGAGUUUGCUUUGCAAGCAGAUUGUGGUGAGUUCGAUUCUCAUCCGCUCCA
rnacentral:tRNA from 1 species